GAACGCCGAGACGCAAGCGCUGUACCCUUGCCGCUGAGGUCAGUGGCUUUCCGGGCGCAAGCACCGAGUGAAGUGCGGUAAAAUCAGCUGACGACUCCGGGCAGGCUCGUUUUAGGACCAGAUGUCUGCGGCCUAGAGAGGGCAGUCAGUGAUUGCCAGCUAAAAUACAGGACGCCGGUUAAAUUCGAAUUUCAAAUAAACAACGAAUUAUUUUUUAGCUGUCCCAGCUCUGGCCACCAACACACAGAGGACACAACAAGGAUGGACUUGGCUAAUGCUGGAGGACAUUUGGAGUGGAAUAAGGCUGUGUGGACUGGGGAAGGAAGAUCGUGCUGCAAGAGUUCUCCUGGUGGGAAGAUGCGCAACCUUUCUCCUCACCCAGGAGUUGCAAAGAUCCCUUGCUGACAGCAAAACCAGCGCACCUCAGCUUUUCCUGAACAGGUGGAGCAGACGCUGCAGCUGGAAGGAGAGUGUGUUGGCCCAGGGCCAGAAAGAAACCCUCCAGUUGUGCUGCCUGCUUGGAAGAGGGAUGGGAAAGGGCAGGAAAGGAGGUGAACGAAGAGGUGCCUAGAAGUGGAGGUGCAGAAAAAGACAUUCUAAAAGGUUAGAUAAAGAUUUAGCAGAGAGCCUUGCCCAUGGGGAGGGACACCAGCUGGCAGUCAGACCUAGGAUCUAGCCCCACCUCUACCAUAAACUACCUGAGUGAUCUUAGCAAAGUCACUGACCUGUCUAGGUCUCAAGUUCCCCAUAUAUUGAAUUAAAUGAGCUGCAGGGUCCCUACCUGCAUGAAUGAAUGUAAGUGUCCUGGCUAAGAAGCAGCCACAGGGACCGGAAGGAAAAUGAGGUCAAAGCAGGGUGAGGAGGGGACACUCACCCAGGUCCCCAAAGACAUACCGGUGGCCCAGAGGUUGCCCCGCGGGUGCACUCGGAUCUUGCUGGUUCGGCUGCGUGGCUCCGGGAGAUCCCAGCCGAGCGGGGCGGUGCCGGCAGCGAGCAGAGAAAAGAGCAGAAGGCCGGCGAGUAGCCGAGCGCCACCGGCCCGCCGGGUCAUAAUGUCCCCUGCCUCAGCUCCCCUCAGGCACGCUUUCCAGUUGCUCUAGUGGCCCGGCAGCUGCUCCGAGUGUCUCCGAGUCGCUCGGUUCGCUCCUUCCCUCCUUUUAAACCCGCGCUCCCGGGGGCGGAGCCUGCAGAGCCGGAGCAGGAGGCUGCCCACCCCGCGCGCGCUUCCACCCUCAGAGGCCCUCACCACCCUGCAACCCUUUGGCUGUUUUUACUCUGUAUCCGGGGCUCGUCACCCUUGGAACUCCACGGGACUGCGACCCCUCCGCAGAAGCCUGCACUUCCGCACUCCUGCUCCACACAUGGACACAGCUGCGGGGGGUUCUGGCCGCAGCCCACCACCUUCAGACUAAGCAAUCGGGCUCAGCGGCAAAACCCUCCCUCACCACGCCCACUCGGUCAAACUAGUUACUUCACCUAUCUGAGCCUCUCUUCAUAAGGGAGAAAGACGGGGGUGAGGAACCCUCCUCCCAUAAAACACGGGCACUUUUAACGCCCAGCAAAGGGUCAGGCCUUAGAGUAGCUCCAUAAAAUCCCCUUGGCCCCUCGCUGGGAAUCUGACCUGUGUUCACUGUGCUCUCCACCCCUCAAUGACACCACUCACCAGGAAAUCUGAAAUUGCCCAGGAGCUGGUCCUGGCACCCAAGCUCUGGAUGGGAAUGUGGAAUGGUUGGAUGGAGCUGCCACCCCCGUGGAGUGGAGAGAGCCUGGCCUAUCAGUUGGGCGGCAGGGAGAUCUCUGGGUCAGGGGAGUGGAAAGGGCAUGGAGCAGGAGUCCACAUACACCCUGUGUGACCUCAUUGAACCUCACUUUUUUCAACUGUAAAAUGGAAAUAACCACAUAUCCCUAUUUUAAAAUAAUUUUACAAUUUUUAGCCCAAUUGUUUUGUGGCAGGAGGCAGCAGUCCUAUAGGAUCUCCUUCUCACACUCCUCCCAAGGAGCUGUUGGGACCUGUCUUGAAAAGAAACAACUUUUGGAUCAGUGGUAUCACUUAAUGAGCAGGGGAAAAUUCUGUGCUCCUGUUUUGCUUAAACACUUAUACCAGUGUUCAGAGCACUACCCGAGGGACAGAAGGAGGGGAGACAAAAAAAUGACUCAAGGGAACAGGGUUAGGAUUAGGUUUAGGGUUUACUACCUCAUUAGAGAGACAGACUUAGUACCUAAAGGAGCAAAUGGUGAAGAAGGUGUAGACUGCAGACAAACCCCUGGGACUCUGGACCCCUCCCUGGAACACUGAACAGUGUGGGUGUGGAAGAACCUACUCUCCUAUUUGGCUCAAUAAUGGUACUUGCUAUUGUUACUCUCCCACAAGUCUAGCUCAGUAAGGCCAGAAAGCCAUAUAUAUCAGCACCCUGAAAGAAGUUUAUAUGAGAAGCUGACUGUCACAUCAAGCUCCCAGGAGCAUGCCACACAGAACAGGGACACUCCAUUUUCAGCUCUGGCUUCUCCCCCAAUCUCCUUGCUUUUCAUCCCCCGCCUUGGCAUUUACACCUCUCUGCUUUCUUGUCACUGCUUAGCCAUAGUGUACGGAUAUAGCUCUUAUCACUUUCCCGUAAUUAUUCUCUUUAUGAACCCCUCCCUCUCCUCUGCAUUCAUCACACACCCAUCCUAACUCCUCUUGUCCAUGGAUAUAGAAAUUAGUGCAAACACAUAAGAACUGGCAUUUAUUGAGUGCUGAACCUUGUUUAAUGCUUGAAGGGACCUUGCAAAGUAGGUUUAGCUCUCCUCAUUUUAUAGGUGAGGAAAGAGGCUCAGACACACUGAGUCACCUUCCUGGAUAUCUUACAGUAACACAGCGGGGAGUCAGACUUCAGGCCUGUUUGGACCACUGUAUCAGGCUCCCAAAGCCAUGCAGGGCAGAUACAGCUCCCCCGAAACCACUCACACUCCUGUUUUAACAUCCCAAGUUUAAACAUUAAUUUGGUUCAGAUUUCUCAGGGGGGAAGAGGAUGAAGGCAAUGCAUUUAGUUUUACUUCUCUUUGGCAGGUGAGCCUGGGACCUUGGGUUCUGCUCUGACAGAUUUAUUUAUACUUAAGCUAAGUCUUCUCUGAUAACAGCCUGGAUUCACAGCCACAACCACAGCUCCAAAAUUCACACCAGAUGCCCUAGGGAUCCUUUUAUCUGUCAGCGUAGUACAGGAAAAAUGCACUCUCUGAGGACCCUGGAGAAAGAGGCUCCAGGGUCAGUCACAAAACACUGUCUACAAAGAAGGGACCAAUAGGCAUGCCUCAGGGGGAGAAAGAGAGCACAUAAGGGAGGGUGGCUUGCCCAAGAGAGCACUUCCAAGUGCGAUCUCCCAGGGAGUAUUAAGUUCAGAGUUUAGAACAAGAGGACCUUAACUGCCAACUGUUUCCCAAGUUUACUCUGAAGGCAAAGGGAUGCCCAAAGGCCUCCAUCCCACUGGGAAAGAUUGACAGUGGUCAUAUGGAGGUGCCUGGGGGAGACUCUUCAGAGCUUAGUCUUGAAUGCUACCAAGAUUCUACAACACUCAAGGACAUACACAGAAAACACAGAGCAGAUUCAUAGGAAAAUCCAAAAAGAGACUAAAGGGAUGAAAGAUUUGCAACAAAUCUUGUUAUAAGCAACACCAACAAAACAUUUAAACUAUUCGAACCAUAUUUUUAAUUAAAAAUUGCUUGAAAUAAGGGAUAUAUAUGUGUGUAUUUGUGUGUAUAUAUAUAUACAUAUAAAAAGGAUUUGCCAUGAUAUUUUUCAUUAGAUUGGAAAUGAUUAUAAGGAACACCUCUUCAUAACUGCAUCUGUUAUUUUUUUUCCAAAAGCACUUUUACAUGGAUGCUCCUUUGAUCCUCAACAUUGCUUUGAUGCAGUAAAGACUAGUAUGAUGCCCAUUUUUAAAGAAAAAUUAACUCAAGUACCCAGCAAGUAAGUUGCAGAGAAGCUAAACCAAUUGAGAAAACCAGAGUGGGGACUUCAAAUACAUGAAAAGCACAGAGGAUAAAAGAGAAACAAAUUAAAGUAAAAGUCAGAAAUUUAAAUUAGACAAACAAAUCUAGUGAAAAGAAACAACAACAAACACUAGAGCUAUUCACAAUAGGAGGGUGUAAAAUACCUAUCCUGAUGAACCUUUGA